GUUUGCACUCAUCGGGGAAGGGUGAGAACCUUCGACUAAGGUUCGAUUCGAGCGAAAGCGAGAGAACGUUGCCACAGGCAACGGCCCGAAGGGUGAGGAGCGAAGCGACGGAUAAUCCUUCCCCCACCACCA
rnacentral:sRNA from 1 species